AUACAACCGGCUCGAGCAUGAAUCCGUCAGGCACUUGGACCCAUAAUUUCUUGCUACUGCUGAGAUUGCUUAACAUUUCCUGGUAUUCCAGGAUAUACAUUUAAAACCAGUCCUGAGCACUAACAUCUACAGUAGACACUACAAUGUCGGGAAAUCCAGCAGUGGUGAUGCGUUUGGUGGCUUCAGCUUACGCAGUGGCAGAGAAGACACUGGCAGACAGGCUGGUCCAGCAGAGCAUGUGUUCCUCCCUAUCCAAAAGCUUCCCCAAAAUCACCAUCAUCGGAGAGGAGGAAAGUGACUAAUUGAAGGUUGCAAGUGACUAAUAGAAGGUUGCAAGUUCAAAUCCCCGAGCUGACAAGUGAACAUCUCUAACAUCAGGAUCUGCCAGAGGAGGCUGUCAAAGACCUGAUUGAGAGCAGUCAGUCUGAAGAAAUCCUACAAGUCCUGUCCAUUGGGAUACAGUGCACUGAAAGAGCUGUGUUUCUGUGUUUGAAUGUCCCGGUGUCUGAAUUUUAGCUGGUUGUGUGGGUCGACCCCCUUGAUGGCACGAAAGAAUACACUGAAGUGGCCAAGUGUCUUUACCUGCCACAUCAGGUCCAGAUGUGUCAUACGGGGUCGGACGCCCAGCUUCUUAGUACGACUCCGUAUGGUGACAGAGGGAGGGUAUUGGGACUGGGAGGGACGAGCAGAAAAGGUCUUCUUGAGCAUGUGACUGUACUGAUCAGCAUUUCAUAUGGAGGGAAGGCCAUUGCCAGGGUCAUCAACCAGCCCUUCAAUUACCAGUUGGGGACGGAGACAGCAGACAUGUGGGGAAUGCCAGGACUGGGCGCCUUUGGGUUCGAGCUACAGGAGGUUCCGGAUGGCCGCCGCAUAGUCACCACGACCCGUUCCCACAGCAACAAACUUGUCAGACACCGUGGAUGCCAUGGUACCUCAUGAUGUGAUAAGAGUUGGCGGAGCAGGAAAUAGUGAAAUGAGAAGGUAUGGUCGGGGUACAUAGGUAAACAUCAAUAAAAUUGGAGGGGAAGGCCUUAGCCUGUGUCUUUGCCAGUCUUGGAACUAAAAAGUGGGACACUUGUGCCCCUGAAGCCAUCCUGCAUGCAUUAGGAGGUAAGCAACAUCCUCUUGAUCAUACUGAAAGUACCUCUAAUGAGUAAUGAAAAAAUAAUGGCGUCUGCUGUUUUUUUUCCUUUCUUGUCCGUCCCUCUGCAGGUAAGCUGACAGACAUGCAUGGCAGUGCGUUGCGGUGCUAAUGUUAAGCACAUGAAUUCUGCUGGGGUGCUGGCCACACUACACAACCACCAGUACAACACCAGCAAAGUGCCCCAGUCAGUCCUGCAGGCCCUGAUUGAUAAAUAUAAUUUACAAUUGUUAUUGUCCAAAAACCCUGCCAAAUUAUUAAAACAUUUCUAGCACCUAGUCAUAAAUGGAAUGUUAAUCUCCAUAAUUACUUGUAUAAAAUAAUCUACGUUGUACCACAAAAUAAUUAAUCUUGAGACAAACAAUAACUAGUAAUGCUGCAUACAUCAAGAAAGGUUCAAAUCUCAUCUCUGGUAAAAAUAGUUAUGAAGUGUAGUCACUUGACACAAGCAGAACAAAUAAAAUGUGGUAUUUCCAAUUCAAAACUAUGAACAAGGCUUGAAAUGACAUGCUUUCUAAAUAUAGUAUAACCAAAUGGCCAACAAAAGUGAAAUCUUAGAAAAUAUACACAUUCUAAAGGUCUCGAUUAAAGCGUCUGACCUGAUUGCUGUGAACAUCUGAGCACUAGCUUGGCUUCCUUAACGCGUUUGGAACUCACCUUAAUCUUGUCAGUCUGACUUGUUUAAAUUCAAAGUAUUAUUUUAAUGGCUAUAAAUCAAUCUGCUAUAGUGAGAAAACCACUCAUGCUACGUUAUCUAAGGAUUGCAGGCAUGUGACUGUGAAUUAAGGUUCAGCCAGGAGUUGAACAGUCAGAAGAGGGAAUUAAAUGGUAGGAGGAACAUCCCAGCGCCAAGUGGUUUCAGAUUUCAUAUUCUACUUUACACAGGCUCAGAAAAUAUACCACUGUGUCUUUGGGAAGCAGGGCUAUUGCUCAAUGCAAGCCAUUUAGAUCUACGGUGUCCACAUAAAUUAAAAUGUCAGUCGGUACCAGAACCACGCAGGUCCCCUAAACAGGGGACAUUACAUCUGAGGUCAUAAGCGUAAUUUUUUUUUUUACUGUAUAGAUACUUUUGGGCUAGAAAAAUCAUGCCAUGUUUGACACUUCUGGUAAAGAAUCACAUUGUACAAACAUUUCUAAACAGCCCAGACUGAUUCAUUACCCAAAUGAAUGGCACAAUAAUCAUGAAACAGACAUAGUAGGCCAAGGGUGCCUUCAAAACAUGAAACGCAUGUCCAAAUGAUUUGAUAAAACUGCUGAUCUACAUUUACAAUUGGUUGACAGAUGUGUAAUUAUUACCUCUGAUGGACAGUGGAACAACACUAGGCCCUCCAACACUGCACCCAUUGAGUAGCUGUGUUUUUUUAUUAUUAAGGUAGCCCAAAGAAUGACAGACACGAGAGGCAGGGUCAACGGCACUGUUCCAUUUAUUCCAUUCAGAGUGAAACGAAAAUUUUACAAAUCUCAAAACUGUUUAAAACACUGAGUUUCCAACUUCAAGAGACUGAUAGAUCAGAACAAGACAAAAGGUGCGAUAUAGCCAACCUCAAACCUAAAAUAUUAUUUGAAUAUUCCUUAGUAAGCUCAUUAGUUGGAUGACAACUCUGAACCAGAUAUUUGAAUCAUCUCCUCUUGAAAAGGUACACAUACUGUAUUCACUAUUCACAUUCUGAUGCCUUGCUGGUCGUUGACAUGUCAGCCUCUUUCGGCUGUCCUAAGAUCUACCACUAGGGGGCAGCAAUGUCUAAGUAAGUGAUCCCGCUACAAAGUGCCAUCUCGGCCUCACCCCGAGCUUGGUAAGCAUGUGCUUGACCCCCGUGUGAUGUAAUAUGCCAUGUUUACAAGAACUGCAGGGGCAAUGGGGAAUGCUGAAAACAGCUUGUGUAAAGUUAAACUUGUAAUCGUCUAGUGGGGCCAACUGGCCGUGUUUGAGAAAAAUAAUAUUCAACACCAAUAGAAAUCCGGUGCCUUUGACUCUUGCCUUAACUUUCCAAGCCACCACCAUCUAUACAGGCACACCGUUAAAGCAAUGUCUACAAACAGUUUUCAGCAAUUGAAGCAGGUUCGGUGGAUACGAGGAGAGGGCUGGUGUGGUGGACAAGAUUGAUUCAAAACCAACAGGCAUUUUAAACACCCAUUUGUUGUGAACCCUUUGAGUUGAGGACACAUGACCUUAACUGUACUAGUUAACAUGUAUACACAGUUAAAAUGUACAGAAUGUGUAUACAAUACAUGCCCAGUGUGUAUAUACACUGUCAUUUUGUAUGGUUUUGAUAAAAUGCAUUUGUACAAGUACUUUCAAAGUUGUUAAUAGUUCAUUAGUGUCUCCAUAAAGAGAGAAAUUUGAGUCCAACGGGGUGAAAAUGACUUGCUCCAAACUCAUUAAGAGGCUAAACCAUUCCACUCAGUUACUGUAGCCAAAACGGCCAAUGUUAUUAGUAAUAUUGUGAGAAGGUUACACAUUAGCAGGGUAAAUUGUGAGACUGGGUGGAGAGGAUCUCACGUUAUUGGUCUUGAAGAGUCAAGGCUGGGGUAAAGAACCCAACUCACACACACUCAUUAUUCAACUUUUUUCUAUACCUGAAGGCAGAAAAGCGUCCCUUCAGAAUGCAUUGCCCCUUUCCACAAAAGGCGUGUAUCGUAUUGCUGCACCUUAGCAACCCAUUUCAUAGCAUUGAAAAACCACGUCACUUAUAUUAUUAAUAAAAAUACCAACAAACAAGCAAAGAAAAAAAAUACGUUCACAGCAAAGAUUUAAUAUUUUACACAUGAAAUAGGUGAGUGGGGGUCAGGGGGGCUAGAGCGCUUCCCAUAGAUGGGAGGGAGGGGACAGGACGUUGCAGGGGGCAAUAGAGGAAAUGGUGCAAGGAGGAGGCGAGAUGGGGGG